rnacentral:rRNA from 1 species
CCUACGGGGUGCAGCAGUGGGGAAUAUUGCACAAUGGGGGAAACCCUGAUGCAGCGACGCCGCGUGAGUGAAGAAGCAUUUCGGUACGUAAAGCUCUAUCAGCAGGGAAGAAGCAAGACGGUACCUGACUAAGAAGCCCCGGCUAACUACGUGCCAGCAGCCGCGGUAAUACGUAGGGGGCAAGCGUUAUCCGGAUUUACUGGGUGUAAAGGGAGCGCAGACGGUAUGGCAAGUCAGAAGUGAAAGCCCAGGGCUUAACCCCGGGACUGCUUUGGAAACUGUUAGGCUGGAGUGCAGGAGAGGUAGGUGGAAUUCCUGGUGUAGCGGUGAAAUGCGUAGAUAUUAGGAGGAACACCAGUGGCGAAGGCGGCUUGCUGGACAGUAACUGACGUUGAGGCUCGAAAGCGUGGGGAGCAAACAGGAUUAGAUACCCCUGUAGUC